AAUGUUGUUCUGUAAUUGGUUAUCAUGUUAGUCUAAUACAAUGAAUGUCUUCGGUUCGAGUCCGGGCGACGCCA
rnacentral:tRNA from 1 species